UAUACUCUGGUGUAGAGGCACACUAGAUUUUGAUUCUAGAGGUAAUGGUUCUAAUUCCAUUGAGUAUAA
rnacentral:tRNA from 1 species